GACGUAGGGCGCGAGCGUUGUCCGGAUUUAUUGGGCGUAAAGAGCUCGUAGGCGGCUUGUCGCGUCGACUGUGAAAACCCGCGGCUCAACCGCGGGCCCUGCAGUCGAUACGGGCAGGCUAGAGUUCGGUAGGGGAGACUGGAAUUCCUGGUGGUAGCGGUGAAAUGCGCAGAUAUCAAGGAGGAACACCGAUGGCGAAGGCAGGUCUCUGGGCCGAUACUGACGUGAGGAGCGAAAGCGUGGGGAGCGAACAGG
rnacentral:rRNA from 1 species